CUCAUGGUCCCUGUGGUUUUGAUCUCAAAUCUGGAUUUAUAUUAUCGGUCCUGAUGUUUUCAGACUUUUGAAUUUGGAAUGAAUUGUACCACAGCUAUUCUUCCGUCAUCUUGCAGAUAGAAGAUGGUGGGACUUCUUGGCCUCAUAACCAGAGAGAAAAUUCUUGGCUUACAGCACCACAUACGGAUCCAGAAAUUCCAGGAGCAAUCCUGAGCACAAAGCCAGGAAUAAUCCCUGAGCACCACCAGAUAAAAUUUAAAAAUAAUAGCAGCCCCAGCAUGCCUUCUCCAGAUGGAGCCCUGGCGACACUGAGCUUCUACUAACAUGGCUCCAGUAUGUGAGACUGGGACACCUCCAAAUGGCGGGGGGCACUGGAAUGGGCGGCACCAGCCCAGUUUCCAAUUUGUCUCGGGCACCAGAAGUCACACCCUCGACCCGCCCUCGGCGCCAUCUUGCCAGCUCCAGACCUGAGACCGAGCCCACAACACUGGGGUGCCAGACGGAGAAGGUACAGCCAGCACACCUUCUCCAGAUGGAGCCCCAGCGACACUGAGCUUCUACUAACACAGCUCCAGUAUGCAGGACUGGGACAUCUUCAAACCAGGUGGCCUUUCCUGAUAUACAAAAUAUAUGCUCAGGAAUGGCUCCGCUACCCCUGAGCGUCCAUUAUCCCAGAGGCACUGAAACCAAUCUCAGAACGCAGCGGCUCCUGGCAGUUAUAAUCCUGGACUCUGAACUAAGCUACGGCCCUGUGCAGCCCCGGGAGGGGAAGGGUUUCUGUCCCUUGGCCUUUUCCCCCCUGAACAGCAUGGCGACCGCCACCAUUCAGAACCAAUUGGACAGAGAGGUAGGAGUUUGCAGUGAUGGGAUGGGAUGCAUGGGGAAUCUUGCGAUGGGGGAGGCAGAACCGGCCCUGCCUCCUGCCCAAAUGAGACCUCGAGUAGUCGCCCAUGUACAGUUCCUCUGCUCCUGAACAGCCAUGAUCCCAGCGCCACAGAAGCCAAUCUCGGAAUGCAGUGGCUGCUGGCUGAAAUACCUCUGGACUUAAUACCAGAAUUCCAAAUCCGGGUGGCCGCUUUCGCGACCAUACAACAUCUUAUGCUCUUUGUUACCAACAAUAGAAAACAUACAAUCUAAUGAUGCCAUUCCGACAGGUCUGACUGUUGGGGGAAAAACUCCAAAUAAUGAUAGUGAGUUUCCUGUCGAAAAUUAAAUGUAAUCAAAGUAAGGAAAGAGUAAAGUGAAAAUCAUCUGCCACACAGGCAGAGGGGGAGUGGGGGGGGGUAUGCUGGGGUUAUUGGUGGUGGAACAUGUGCACUGGUGAAGGGAUGGGUGUUUGAGCAUAGUAUGACUGACACUCGAUCCUUAAAGCCCUG